rnacentral:lncRNA from 1 species
UCGCACCUACGGCAGCCACCAUUAGGAGUCGCAGCUCCGCACCUCCGGCAGUUACCAUUAAGAGUCGCAGCUCCCGCUGAGGUAUUACAAAUACAAAAGGACUAUGAAUAUGAUUGUUUGAGCAGGAGACCGACGUAGUAUUAAACUCCGUUUUCGAAUUUGCAAAAAUAAAAAAAUUCUAAGUCUCUAAAUAAUGUUUAUUUUUACUUGCCUUUAUAUAAUGUAAACUCUAUUUGUCCCCAAUUUUAUGGAACUAGAAUAAGAAGAAUAAUAAUUAACCUGCUAUAUAAUUUGUUCAAGAUCUAUUCAAAUUAAAAAGAAAGCCGAAGGGAGAUUUACUAUUAUAAAUACUCUACAAAAAUUUAUUCGAACCCAUCAAAAGCAACCGAUUGGUUCAAUUUUUAACAAUCAUGAAGUUCGGUUGGGUUUAAUUAUUAUGAAAACUGAUUUAGUCGGUUUAGUAUUCAAUUUUCUUGAUUUUCAAUCAAUAAAAACUAAAUCAAAUCGAUAUUUUAAAAUUUGUAUUUUUUUUUUUAUAAUUCAUAAAACUUGCCAUUGAAUGAGUUUUUUUUUUACUCAAUUUAAGUAAUUUAUUAUUAAUAAAUUAUAGUCAAAACAAUUUUCAAAUACAUCAAUUAUACAACCAACAUAUAUUUAAAAACUUAAAAUGUUAUUAAUAUGUUUUUCAUAUUUUUAAAUAUACUUUAAAAAUAAAUUUUAUUGUAAUGAUUUAUUUUUAAUUAUUUUUCAUAUUUAUAUAAUUAUUAUUUAAAAUAAUAUUUAAAAAAUAAGUAAAAAUUAUUAAAAGGUAUUAUCUAAAAAUAUUAUAUUUUUUGUUUUUUAAAAUAAAAGGAUGUGUGGAUCUUGCAUUUAUGCACGUGUUUCCACUCAAAUGGCGAACUCGCUUUUUAUUUGAAAAAAGAUUUAUUUUUUUAGAAAAUGACUUGGAGUCGCUACUUAUUUUUGUUUUAUUUUUAAAGAGAAAACAAAAUAAGAAAGAAAACCUUAAGUAUGACUCCUUAUUUGGAAAAGAAGGUUUGUGAAAAACCAAACCUGGAUUCGAGGAUCAGAUUACUUAUUGGAAAGGUACAGUGAAGACCGUAACACCCCUCUAAGCCCCUAAAAAUAAGUCUCUACUAAAUAAGAUGAAACAAGCAUGACAAUCAGUAAGGAAAUCAAUGGAUAUCAAAAUAAUCAUACACUGGAAGCCAAAACAUGCAUAAAGAAUAGUCAAAGUGAGAGUGAGUCCAUAUCUUAGCAGUGAACAAUAAUGCACUAUCAUGAAAUGGGGUUAGUGCAUAAUAGUGAGUACAAAAUGUAUCACAUGCAUCACUAAACAGAAUAAGAAACCAUUAUUGACAGACAUUGCACUUCACUCAAAUUUAUUUUUAUUUUAAAGAAACCAUCACUGAUGUUAGACCCCCACCAAAGCCCAAUUUAUUUUGUAUGAAUUAAUUCCACGAAUUCCAUGAUUUGGAAUUAUAGAAUUUUAUUCAUACUUAUUUUAAAACAAUAUGAAAAUCAAGAAGAAAAAAAAGUGAAAAAUGCUUGCCGAAGAUAAAAUGACAACAAAUUUUUAUUGAAAAUGGGAUUUUUGAGACCUAAAAAAUUUUAAGGAUGAAAAGUUGUGGAAUCAAAACAAGAUUUUUAUUUUGAAAAUCAAUUUUAAAAGACAUGCAUGAAGAUGGAUAAAGAAACACAUGGGUUUUGAAAAGGAGCAUAAGAGGGUGGCCAAUGAAAAAUGGGGUCAUGUAUGUGGGCCCGGGGUGGAGAUAGGCAAUCACUAAUGAGGGUGAUCCCCAUCUGGGUGGUGUACUGUACAAUGCAGAAAACCCAAUUUCGCUUCCACAUAGUUGUAUCUUUGCCAUUUCUUUAACUUUCACUUUUGCUUUGGCAACAUUUGGAUUGGUUGGCACGACCUUUGCUUACUCAACCUUUGGCUCAGGUUUUCUAUUUUCUAAAGAAUAGGUUGGGAGACCUUCCUUUGAAUUAGAAUCAUCAAAUUCAGAAUUUUUUUGAGUCAAACUCAAAUCAUGGACUUGUAUUAUAGUCUACAUGUGGGGUCGACAAAGGUAAUCUGGUAGAGGUUUGAAUGCAUGUAGAUGGCAGCAUGGGGGUCAAGGAGUGCUAAAGUGGGAUUGCAUGAUAAUUCCUCCCUUGCCAAUGAUGAAGAGUCACCUGAGAUCUCCAAGACCACUUGACUUUCUAUCCGUUUAGACCCAUGCGAGAUGCGAGAGCACACCUGGCAGCGGGACUACAUUUGGCAUGAGAGUCACGUGAAGAAAUGGAGCGGGGUCAGAGAUUAAAAGGGCUCAUGCAAAGGAUUGAAGGAACUGAUGUAGGUCAUUAGAGAUAGAACAAGGCGGUAGCUUAUCUCCUCUUCCCUACAACCUUAUAGUCUUGUGGAUAGUGGAACCUUUCAUUCCGACGUGGAACAACAAGAUCUUUAAUUGUGCCAAAUACAGCUUGCUUAAACAGAUUGUACAGUCCCAUCUUCACCAAUUACUUCCAACUCUAGAGAUGUCUUCUCCUUCAUAACCACCAAAUUCAAGGUCUUGAUCCUUGUCUGGGUUACUCGGUUCAGCUUCCUAAAAGCUGCAUCUAUAUGUCUUGCUUUCACCUGAGUCAUUCCUCUGUUCAUUCUCAAGCUUCUAAUAUUUGUAGCAUGGUCAGGACCAUGUGCUACGCCUUUGACAUGUAUGCAAGCUCAUCAACUUUUGAUGGAUUUCCAACUCUUGCCUCUUCCUAAACAGUGUCAAGGUUUCCUCACAUCCUCCAUUAAUUUCUGCCAAUGCUAGAAAAUAUCAUGCAUGCCAUGCAGGUAGGGGGGGUGGGAAAGGUGACAAGGAGAUCGGGUAGAGGGUUGGGUAUAGGUGGAUGGUUGCGAAAGUGAUGAGUUGAAUGGGUGAGUGCAUUGUGGUGAUCAGGUUUGGUGGAUAUGAAGAAUGGGGACUGUAGGGACCCCUCAUCCUGAGAACACGUGCCAUGCACCUCAUGGUGACACGUGGCACGCAUUACACGUGACGCGCCUCUCAUAUCCGGACUGCCUCAAGGAAGUUCAAAAGACACUUAUAAGCAUAAUACAUCCGGACGGCUUCCACAAAUACAUCCGGAUGACCAACAUAAGCCAUCCGAAUAUAAUUGUCCGGGUCAUUGACUGAAGUAAGCAAGUCUUACACGUUAUCACAAACAGCCUGCCAUGGCCCACGUUCCACCACCUGCAGAGUGAAAGGACAAGAUAAAGUGACAAGUCACUUCCCACGAUCACUUCACACGAUCACCUACCACGAUCUCUGUCAACCGCCCGUAGGGUGAUGAUAGCCCUGCCACCACCUAAUGUCAUCAUAACAACACAAAAUAUCUCCCUAGCAUUAAAGAGGGAAUCAAAGCCUCUGAUACUAUAUAUAUCAGCCUUCACACAAAGAGGAAGGUAAACUUGCUAUACCUAAUAAAAAGCCAACUAAUUAUCUCUCUCUAAACCAUGGCUGACAAAACCAUCGGAGGGUGCGUCCAGACACCCUGUCCGGACGUCUUUUGCAGGAAAACCGACUGAAUCAAGAACCUAUAUUGGUUGAGAACCGCGCAUCCAUCCAUUUGGCAACUACGUGGAUCGUCAGAGACGCGAGGCCUCAACAUUGGCGCCGUCUGUGGGAAAUUUUCAUUUUGAUUCAGUCACUAGCAAAGAUGGCCACACCUUCCCGAAGCCGUUCAUCUGGUAGGGGAGAGGAAGAUAAUUUUGAAUGACGUCAAACCAUCGAAAGAAGACAGUUGGCAAGCGAACGACAACUGAAAGCUCUCCUCCAGGAGACAGAAAGAUUGAGAGAAGAAAACGUUGUAUUACGCAUCCAGGCUUCAACAUUAGGGCCUCCUCAACGUCAGCGUUCAAGAGGCCAAGUAGCAAACUCAAGGCCUCAACAAGAACCAGAAUUAAUAUAUCCUGGGACAAUAGGAGCUAUCCCAGGAGCAUGCAACAUGAGGCCUCAUGAGCCACACACGCCUAAGCCCCGAGCUCCCCGUGAGGAAAGCUCAGACUCUACACACUUUUCAGCAAAAAGACAACGUGAUAGAAUAUCUCAGUUGUCAAAUUCAAUGCACGCAAGACUAGGCCCACAAGAGCCUGGAAGACCAAGGCCACCGGUAGCCACAACCUAGGCACCACGCCCUGACCCUAUGGUCACCCCCAUAGUGCAGAACAUGCACCCGCAUCGUGACCCCAUGGUCACCCCCAUGAUGCGGAACGUUCAUUCGCACCUAAUGGUACAGCAAGCUGGGGGAAACCUUCCAAACGAGCCACCCAUUGGCUCCAUCAGCAAAAAGCUGGAUGACAUGCUCUCCACGCCCUUCUACUCUCAUAUCAUUCAUUAUGAGCCCCUAAGGGGAUUCCUCGUACCAAAAUUUUCCACAUACGAUGGGACCAGCGAUUCCUUCGAUCAUAUCAUGCAUUAUCGAUAGCUCGUGACGCUCGAUAUUGGCAACGACGCACUACUGUGUAAAGUAUUUCCCGCCAGCCUACAAGGACAGACCCUCUCAUGGUUUCAUCGCCUACCUCCCAACUCUGUUGGCAAUUUCAGGGACCUGUCCGAAGCUUUUGUGAGACAAUACUUGUGCUCCGCCCGACACAAGCAGAACAUUAGCACUCUGCAAAACAUAAAAAUGCAAGAUAACGAAUCCUUAAGGGAAUUUGUGAAGCGAUUUGGCCAAGCCGUACUCCAAGUAGAGGCUUGCAGCAUGGAUGUUGUCCUACAGAUCUUCAAGCGAAGCAUCUGUCCAGACACUCCAUUUUUCGAAUCACUAGCCAAAAAGCCUCCUACAACGAUGGACGACUUGUUCAGACGAGCCAACAAAUAUUCAAUGCUCGAAGAUGACGUGCGUGCAGCCACCCAGCAAGUUUUGGUUGCCGGACGACCAUCUAGAGGUGACGCGGAAAGAAAUGCUAAACCUCCGGACCGGCCAAGGCCGUCCGAUCGAAGGCAGGAGGGACCGAGUCGCCCGGAUAGACCGUCCCUCAUGCCUCUUUCCAUAUCAUAUGGAAAACUUCUCCCUAUGAUCCAAGGCUUGUCUGACUUCAGAUGGCCCAAACCCCAAGGAACGGACCCAUCCACAAGGGAUCAUAGCAAGAGAUGUGCCUUCCACAAGGAACACGGUCACACGACAGAAACAUGCAGAAGCCUCCAGUAUCUGGUCGAGAGGCUCGUCAAGGCAGGACACCUAAAGCAAUACAUCCUCUCAAACGCUGGAGGAAAAGUCACUUCCCAAAAUAACAACCCUGGAGCCCCCAGGGCCCUAGCCGCUCCCAAGGCCAUUAUAAACUAUAUUAACGGAGGCCCAUCUAACGAGGAGUACGACUCUAGGCGAAAAAGACAAAAGUUGUUGCGGGCCGCAUCAAUACGCGAACGCAUCAAUUCCAUCCGGCCUGGGCUAACUAGAGGGGGCCCUCGCCCCAUAGAUGGGACAAUCAUUUUCCCACCAGUAGAUCCUACCCGGACACUGCAGCCACAUCGCGACGCCCUCAUCCUGUCCCUAGAGAUAGGAGACUUCGAUGUAAGACGUAUCUUGGUUGACCCGGGUAGCUCGGCCGACCUGCUACAAGCAUCAGUCGUUGGCCACAUGGGACACAGUCUCACAGACCUCGAAAACCUUGGACGAGUCCUGUCCGGAUUCAACGGAUCGUCAACUACAUCCUUGGGAGACAUUAUACCGCCGGUUCAAGCUAGCCCAGUCACUCUCAACGUGCAAUUCUCGGUGGUCCAGGAGUUGUCACCCUUUAAUGUCAUCUUAGGGCGCACGUGACUACACUACAUGAAAGCCAUUUCCUCUACAUAUCAUCAAAUGGUGAGUUUCUUCACCGACGAGGGACAAAUUGACCUAUAUGGCAGCCAAUUAGCCGCUCGCCAAUGCUACCAGAUAGCACGAGAGGCAGGAACCAGCCAAGAGGAUGCACCCCCCCUGACCCUAGCCAUACAUGUGACCAAUAACAAUUAUUGGGUCCGGCGGAGAAAGAUCCCCCGGCAGCAGAUCCCUUACAAACAAUCCAAAUUUCAGAGGAAAGUACUCACCUCACAAACAUCAGUUCCCUCAUUACACCAGAAGAGGCCCAGAGCAUGCAAAACGUCCUCAGGCGAGACCAUGACAUCUUCGCAUGGGCACAUUCUGAUAUAAAGGGAAUUCAUCCCUCUAUUGCAUCUCACAGGCUUAACGUCUUUUCAACUGCCAGACCCAUCCGGCAAAAGAUUAGGCGCUUUCACCUGAAUAGACAAAAAGUCAUCCGGAAUGAGAUUGACAAAUUGCUGGAAGCCGGAUUCAUCAGAGAAGUAGCUUAUCCGGAUUGGUUAGCCAACGUAGUGGUGGUGCCAAAAAAAGAAGGAAAAUGGCGGGUUUGCGUAGAUUACACCAACCUCAAUAAUGCAUGUCCAAAAGACAGUUUCCCUUUGCCACGAAUGGAUCAAAUUGUGGACUCCAUUGCCGGGUAAGGGAUGCUCUCUUUCUUGGAUGCCUUCUCCGGAUAUCACCAGAUUCCCAUGUCUCCGGCUGACGAAGAAAAAACAGCAUUCAUAACGCCAUACGACCUCUAUUGCUACAAAGUCAUGCCAUUCAGACUCAAAAACACUGGCGCCACUUAUCAGAGACUGAUGACAAAGAUCUUCAAACCUCUGAUAGGCCACACAGUAGAGGUCUAUAUUGAUGAUAUCGUGGUUAAAAGCAAAACCCGAGAAAAACAUGUUCUUCAUUUACAAGAGGUUUUUCACCUUCUGAGGAAGUAUGACAUGAAGCUGAAUCCUUCCAAAUGCGCCUUUGGAGUAAGUGCUAGAAAAUUUCUGGGUUUUAUGGUCAGCCAAAGAGGGAUAGAGGUUAACCCGGAUCAAGUCAAGACAGUCAUGGAAACACCUCCCCUUAGGAGCAAGAAGGAAUUACAGCGCCUCACGGGCAAACUCGUCGCACUAGGGCGUUUUAUAGCCUGCUUCACUGAUGAAUUGCGACUUUUCUUCUUGGCAAUUCGAAAGGCUGGAGCAAAUGGUUGGACGGACAGCUGUCAAAACGCUUUUGAAAAGAUUAAACACUGUCUUACGCAGCCACCCAUCUUGAGCAGUCCCGUUCCAAAAGAAAAAUUGUACAUGUAUCUGGCUGUAUCAGAGUGGGCAAUCAGCGCUGUUCUAUUCCGCUGCCCCUCACCAAAGGAGUAGAAACCAAUCUACUACGUUAGCAGAGCCUUGGCGGACGUAGAAACCAGGUACUCAAAAAUGGAGCUAACAACCUUAGCCCUUCGUAGCGCUGCCCAGAAGCUCCGCUCCUAUUUCCAAGCCCACCCAGUGGUCGUGUUGACCGACCAACCCCUUCGCAACAUUCUGCACAAGCCAGACUUAACCGGAAGAAUGCUGCAAUGGGCUAUCGAAUUGAGCGAGUUUGGAAUCGAAUUCCAACCCAGAUUGUCCAUGAAAGGCCAAGUAAUGGCUGACUUCGUGCUAGAAUAUGCCCGAAGGCCUAAUCAACACCAGGAAUCUAAUGAAAAAGAAUGGUGGACUUUGCGAGUUGAUGGAGCCUCACGAUCAUCAGGGUCCGGAGUCGGACUUCUGCUAUAGUCCCCAACCGGGGAGCACCUGGAGCAAGCCAUUCGGCUGGGAUUCCCUACCUCCAACAAUGAAGCAGAAUAUGAGGUCAUCUUAUCCGGAUUGGGCCUCGCUUUGGCCUUAUCCGUUUCCAAACUCCGGAUCUAUAACGAUUCGCAACUCGUAGUAAGACACGUCCAGAAGGAAUACGAAGCCAAGGACGCACGCAUGGCGCGGUAUCUGACCAAAGUAAGAGACACCUUACAUCGAUUCAUCGAAUGGACAAUCGAAAAGAUCAAAUGAACCGAAAAUAGGCGCGCUGACCCUUUGGCCGGCAUAACUGCCUCCCUCCCCAUCAAAGAAGCUAUUCUAUUGCCUGUACAUGUGCAAUCCAACCCUUCUGUCGCAGAAACCUCUACUUGCAACACCAUUGAGGCAAGCCAAGCAGACGGCCAAGAUUGGACGAACAACAUUACAGAAUACCUCCGGACAGACACUUUGCCCGGAAAUCCCAAACAGGCACACAAGAUCCGGGUACAAACUGCCCGUUUCACCAUAAUCGGGGGGCACUUGUACAAGCGAUCCUUCACGGGACCCUACCUUCGGUGCCUUAAGUCAUUCGGAGGCCCAGUAUGUGUUAGCUGAGUUGCAUGAGGGAAUAUGCGAAAAUCAUUCAGGAGGACGGUCUCUGACACAUAGAGCCCAUUCACAAGGAUAUUAUUGGCCCACGAUGAAGAAAGAUGCAGCAGCAUAUGUCAAAAAAUGUGAUAAAUGUCAAAGGUAUGCUCCCAUUCCACAUAUGCCAUCAGAAACAUUAAAGCCAAUAUCAGGCCCAUGACCCUUCGCGCAAUGGGGCAUGGAUAUAGUGGGACCCCUCCCAGUUGCACCUGCCCAAAAGAAAUUUUUGCUCGUUGCCACAUAUUACUUCAGUAAAUGGGUGGAAGCUGAAACGUAUGCUAGCAUCAAAGACAAAGAUGUCACCAAGUUUGUAUGGAAAAACAUCGUCUGUCGUUUUGGAAUUCCACACACCAUUAUAGCCGACAAUGGUCCACAGUUUGAUAGUAUGGCGUUUCGAAAUUUUUGUUUGGAACUGAACAUCUAGAAUUCAUACUCUACACCCCGUUAUCCUCAAAGGAAUGGGCAAACAGAAGUCACAAACAAAAUUCUGAUAAUUGCCUUAAAGAAAAUGCUCGAGCAAGCCAAAGGAAAGUGGGUGGAAGAGUUGCCCGGCGUCCUGUGGGCCUAUCGCACCACACCCGGACGACCAACAGGAAACACUCCCUUCGCCCUCGCAUACGGUAUGGACGUAGUAAUUCCUACCGAAAUUGGGUUACCCACUAUCCGGACUGAAGCAGCAAAACAGGUUGAUGCAAGCGCGGAGUUAGGAAGAAACUUGGAUUUGGAAAAUGAAGUAAGAGAAAGCGCAGCCAUCCGCAUGGCAGACUAUCAGCAAAGAGCAUCCGCUCAUUACAAUCACAAAGUAAGGUCCAGAAGCUUCAAAAAUGGUACGCUGGUCCUUAGAAAAGUUUUUGAAAAUACUGCUGAAAUAGGCGCAGGAAAAUUUCAAGCCAACUGGGAAGGACCCUAUAUAGUAUCUAAGUCAAAUGAAAAUGGAGCUUAUCAUUUACAAAAGCUAGACGGAACUCCAUUACUCAGACCAUGGAAUGUGUCGAAUUUAAAGCAGUAUUAUCAAUAAAAGCAAGAGACAAGUACAAAUGUCAAAAAUGAAUGUUUUAUUGAUAUUUGUGAAGAUAAGUACAAGGAGGUCUCCGGACAACAACAGUUACAGAAAGAAGAUAGUAGCAAAGAUUACAAAAAGAAAAACUAUCAGGGAGCAGGCUUGUCGAGCAGCUUCUUCUCUUCACCCGGAGGAAUUGAAGGGACAUCCCGUUUAAUGCCAUUUUUCUUCAUACAGCAACGAUAGCCAAAGAAGAACAUAUCAUCCACUUGCUUUUGGUAGUCCGCUUCAAGUUCCUCCCUCUCUGUAGCAAACUCGCCCUCUGGCUCUUUUUUUUGCGCUGAUAAGCGCAACUGCAGAUCUUCCCUCUGCUUCUUUUCAAUUGAAACUUCCGUCCGGAUGUGCCUCACUUCCCCCCUCAACAGAGCCACCUCAUCCUCCGCCUCAUGCAAGCGGGCCUCCAUUGAUUCCUCUCGGCUCUUUGCCUCAGCUAAAUCCACAUAGAGAGCCUCAUUCUCCUCCCCGAGCGGUGGAUAAACUGGCUUUAGCCUCCUCCAGUCUCAAGCGCAACUGAUCUUCACUAUUUUUUCGCUGAGACACGAAGGCCUUCAUGUAAUCGAUGGUCCGCAGCAGGUCAGUAAAUAGAUCGUGUUGUUGAGCCAUGCCGCGAAGACCACUCACCAGCUACAAACAAAACACACAGACAACAAAAGCGAAAUUAGAAGUCAUACCACAAACACGUCAGCAUGACAAAAAAUCAAGUAACACAAAGAACAGUAUACCGUUUCCACCACUUCAAACAUCUUUGCUGAAGGCAUGGCAGUAGUCGAGCCGGGUGGAAUCUGCUUCAGCUUCUCUUCCAAUUCCGCAUAGCUAAAAGGGCUAGCAGAAAUGCAAGCCGCAUCAUCAGCAGGAUCCCCCCCGGAUGAGGCGUUGGAAAGUAACUCCUCCCCCGGAUCUGGGGCCCCUUCAUUUUCAGCCGGAUAGGUCUCUCCGGGCGUACCCUCAUCCGGGACCACCAUCGGGGUGGCUGGGGUCUCAGGUGCCAUCUCCGUCUCGCUCCCCUCCGGAUGGUCAUCAUGGACGGAUGAGCAACUGACUUCGAUGGUCUCCUGGAAUCGAUCUUGAAGCCGCCCGAGGAGGCCGGACUUUAGGUUUCGCGCCGAACUCGGUCUUUUUGAGGCUGGCCCCUUCACCGGUACAAGGGCAAGAGGACUUGGCUCGCAGGAAGGCAAACCCUGGUUUUCUGCCCCCAUUUCCUCCAUUGGGGUCGCCAUAGGAGGAGAUGCGACCGUGCAUAAAGCCUCUGUCGCAUCUGCGUCCGGACGAGGGGAGCUGGGUUGAUUUAUUGACGUGGCUUCUUCUACCACAAGAGCCAAGUGGCCAGCCGCCGACAUUGAGGGACCGGAGUGGUUCAGGUCCGCCAGAUGUCCGGGUCCGCCAGAUGUCCGGGUCCGCUUGAAAUGGAAAUUGGGACGGGAUUUUUCGGCUCCUUUAUUGUUACCUCCUUCACAUAGGUUGAAUGAGGAAUUACAACCUCCUUUGGAGGAGGGGGGAUUUCCACUUCCUUCCCCUUAUUUGAAGUCUUCUUUUUCUUCUUCGCUGGAGCGUCAGCAGGAGGAGAGGACGGGACCGUUUUUUCCCCGGAGCCUUCCGCAAGGUUCCCUCAUUUUUUCUCCUCUCCCGAUCAUCAAGGAGUGCUCGGCGUUUCUCAGCGUCCGCCUGUUGCACCUCCUCGUAGAAAAGGAGGUCUUUUAGAACGUAAUGCUCCCUAGGCACCACCUUCUUUGACAGUUUCCUGGGGAGAAUAUUGAUGAUAUACUCCUGGGACUCCCGGACAACAGCCAUCAGGUUCCGCGCAGUGAGCAGCGUCACAUGCUACCUCUCGGUGGCAGUAAUCUCGAACAACUUGUUCAACCGAACAAAUGACGCUUUUUCUACCCACUCAACUACGUGACCCCUCUUGUCCGGACCUGCAUUAUCAUCAGCCAAAGGUAAUUAUUCCAUCUGAUAAAACCAGCAAGCAGGACAACAAGACAAAUACCGGACAAAAACCGCAAGAUGACUUACCCGGAAGCACCAAUGAGUAGUUUGGAGAAAAAGGUCGCUCCGGGUGCUCCAAUAGCCCCGCCCACACACCCCGGACCACCACAUAUCCCUUCGCCCCUCCCUUCGUCGAAUCCGGCAACUCAGUCACCAAUUGAAGGGAGGGCAGGUGGGCAGCCAUGCUAAAGAUAUCAUUUUUUCCCUUCUUCAGGGAGUAAACAAAAAGAACCUCCAGCAACGAGAGGCCAAGGUUGAACAGCAUGUUUAGAAUGCUGCAUCCCAUCAGCACCCGGACUAUAUUGGGGUGGAUAAAGGCUGGUGGGAUCUGGGUGAAGUGGAGGAAUUCCUUGAAUAGUGCUGGGAGAGGAAACCGGAGCCCGACAGCGAAUUGCUCAUUUGAGAAAGUGAUGGCACGACAUUCAGCUUUCUCAGUCGACACGACUUCCUCCUCGUCCAAAAAUUCCACAAACGUGCCAUUCGGGAUACAGAAACGUUCCCGGAACUCUUUUACACUCAGCUUAUCUGCAGAUUUCUCAUGAACAUCGCCGGCCGGACCAGACGAAACAAUUUCCUUGUUUACAGACAUUUUCUAGCCCGAGACUGAAAUGGAAACUACACAAAAAGGUACCAACAGUCAAAAACACCCUCAACAAAACCCUAGAAAUAAAAAAAACACAUCAACAUUUACACACACAGUCGCAAACAAGUUGCCCAAACAAACCAGAAACAACCCAACCAAGGCAAACACAAAGCAAGAAAAGCCAGGAACGAUGCACAUACCAAGUGUAAAUCUGGAAGAAAAAGGUUGAAACACCGCAAACGCAGUCACAAGUGCGAUACAGAAAUCACCGGUAGAAAAACUCUAGGGUUUCACUCAGAAAAAAAGAAGGUACGCAGAAGGUAGAAGAAGAAAGCACUCUCAGAAAAACGCAGUAGGAAAAAUACAACAGUAGGCACAGUAUGCUAUUUAUAGGGAGACAGCCCCUCGGUAUACCAAACGAUCAGCUACACUAUCAUUAAAACGACAUGCUGCCUGGGAAUACACAGAGACGACGACUCAUCAUAAAUGCUCCUCUCUCUCUCCACUCUCGUUCACCACGUGGCCCAAUGAGCGCAAAAAGGUAGCCUCAGUUUCAAAAAAUCAAUUAUUUUUAACCCGCCCAUUUUUGCACGGGCAAAAUGGGCAAGUUAAAAAGGGGAGCAUUGUAGGGACCCCUCCUCCUGAGAACACGUGCCACGCACCUCAUGGUGACAUGUGGCACGCAUUACCACCCCGAUACACGUGACGCGCCUCUCAUAUCCGGACUGCCUCAAGGAAGUUCAAACGACACUUAUAAGCAUAAUACAUCCAGACGGCUUCCACAAAUACAUCCGGAUGACCAACAUAAGCCAUCCGAAUAUAAUUGUCUGGGUCAUUGACUAAAGUAAGCAAGUCUUACACGUUAUCACAAACAGCCUGCCAUGGCUCACGUUCCACCACCUGUAGAGUGAAAGGACAAGAUGAAGUGACAACAAGUCACUUCCCACGAUCUCUAUCAGCCGCCCGUAGGGUGAUGAUAGCCCUGCCACCACCUAAUGUCAUCAUAACAACACAAAAUAUCUCCCUACCAUUAAAGAGGGAAUCAAAGCCUCUGAUACUAUAUAUAUCAACCUUCACACAAAGAGGAAGGUAAGCUUGCUAUACCUAAUAAAAAGCCAACUAAUUAUCUCUCUCUAAACCAUGGUUGACAAAACCAUCGGAGGGUGCGUCCGGACACCCUAUCCGGACGUCUUUUGCAGGAAAACUGACUGAAUCAAGAACCUAUAUUGGUUGAGAACCGCGCAUCCAUCCAUUUGGCAACUACGUGGAUCGUCAGAGACGCGAGGCCUCAACAGGGACUGAUGGGUAUGAAGGGUGUGGGUUAUGAUUAAUGGAAUGGGUGGUGGAAGGUAGUGAGAGAAGUGGGUUUAGUGGGUUUUGAAAUAUGGAAAUAUAGGUAUGGUGGUGGAAUAAGUUGCUGGUAGUGGGUGUGAUAAAUGGGAAGAUAGUGAGUUUGUCAUGACGUUUCAGACAAGAGCGGUUUGGCUUGAGAUUCAGGUUUGAUAGAAUGGGGUUUUAGUGAAGGGUUUUACAAAGGUUUUGGGUGGCCAUGCAUGACAAUGCAAAGGUGGGAUAGAUGGUGGUUACAACUGCACUUGCGUCCUUAGGCACCCCAUCACCUCGGUAUUUCAAGUAGCAUGUCGUGUUCUUGCCCUGGCAAGGGUCACACUGGGCUAUCAUAGAAGAGGGCUCAAAAGCACUAUUGGUAAUUUGCUUCUAUAAGUUGCUUAUGGUAUGCCUUUUCAAUAGAAAUCACAGGAGCAUAAGAAACUUCUCUUGGACUUGUGUACCAAUCGAUUCCCAUGAGCAAUAUUUCCUUCUUAAAAAAGUCUUGUUUUUUUUCUUUUAUCUAUUCAACACUUCAAUUUCCCCAGAUGCCUACUACUCAUGCAUUCAGUUCCAAAAGUGUUCUGAAUCAAGAGAAGGCGCCGACACUAGGGGACCCCUCGGGAUGUGUCCCUAUAGAAGCCUAAUCCAUGCUAACAAGGCUCUCAUCUUCACAUUCAAGCACUGCUCUCCGGAAGCACCAGGGGUACUCUUCACUCUAAUUAAUGGUGCCAACAGAAUCAAUUAUGAGCUUGGAAGACACUCUCAACAGCUAGACUUCUUCCAUAGCUAAAUCUAUUAGACCAACUUGAGCUCUCCCAGAAGCACCCCGAUCAAGAUGGCCAACCCAAACAUGAUACCCAACACUCUAAAAAUACCAGAAACAGAGGAGAAAGUAAAAAAAAAACAAAAACAAAAACAAAAACAAAAACAAAGCAUGCACAAACAAAAAUAAUAUGGUUAAACCUAGCUCCAUUUCAUAAAGGUCAAUGGGCUAGAUACAGGUGGAAUCAAAAGGAAGCAAGAGCAUGAUCUUUGAUAAUAAGAUUCAGUGAUGGAUCCAUAUUCAAGUCGUUCAUGAACAGAGAAAUGCACGAGUUGCUUACAAAAAGAACUAAAAAAACCAUAUUAGAAUCAACAAAAAUGCAUUAAAAUCGGUCUUAGAUUUCACAAAUAUGCACAAUAUCUGAUGUCAACAUUCAAGCACCAAGAUGAACCCAAAAUCAGCAGGAAACAAGGGAGAAUAGUCUAAAAUGGGAAAAUGUAAAAUAUGUUGUAAUCAUACCCGGAUAAGAAAAAGAGUGGUGAGCUGAUUCUCUGUUUUUUCUCUUUCUCUUUUUCACUUCUUGUCUUUGCUACUCCAAACGCCCCUUUCUCCUUUCUAACUCCCUAUAGAAUGACCCUCACUUAAGCUGAAAUUGUCUCUCUACCGAUUCACUAUUUCUAUUUCACACAUUUUUUUCAGCUCUCACUUAAAACCCUUGAAUCCCAGAAAAAGAAAACCUAUUCCUCUCAUCCUCAGUUCCUUUGUAAAACCCUUUUCCUUUUCUUUCCUUAGUUGGUUUCUUCCUUACGCUCCCCUCCCCCCAACGACCUCAAAACUGUCCUCAAAAUCUUCUCACACACCUGUCACUUGCUGAUUGCCUCUUCCAAAAACGCCUACUUCCACUAACAGGGCAGCUGCCACUUCCUAAUGACCUCUCCAAAGAUGACACGUGGACCUCUAAAAACCUACCAUGUGGCAAAAACAAAUAAGUGCAAAAAAUAAACCCAAAACGGGGGUUUACAGGACUCCCCCGCCUCCUUUGGCUGCUUCGAGCCCUCUACCACCCCAACAAUGAGCACUUCCUCCACCUCAGUAGCUGCGUAAGCCCAUAAGAGAGGGCGGAGCUUUCCGCAUCUAUUGGGUCUGUUGUUGUCUUCGCCGUUGCAGAGAAUGUUAAUGUUGUUGGGAACGUUGAUGCGGUGAAUCUUCACGACUCCAUGCCCAUUGCUUCCCUGCUUCUAUUAGACACAAAUAACAAUAAUUAAAGUCUUUUUUUAAUGAAGCAACAAAGGACUUCAUAGAUUUCCUCUUCAACCUUCGGUUUUUGCCCAUUGGAACUGUGGUCAAUAUCCUUGCAAAGAAGAGCAAUGCAGGUGGUUUUGGUAACUAGUAUGAAAUUGUCAAAAAUCUCAAUGAAAGCACCUACCAUAACUGGACUCACACUUAAUUAAACAAUUAUAUUAAGUUUUGUUUGGCUCUAUGAUAGGGUUUGAAGAUGCUGAAGGAAGGUUGGUUAUGUGAGAUAUUUCAUGAGAACAUUGCCUACACCAUCACUAAGAAAGAAUAGAACUCGGAAAAAAUAUAUAAAUACUUUAGAGGAUAAGGGAAAGAACAAAAAUUCAAAACCAUACUAACAAGAAGAGAAUCAAAACCAUUAUUAAAGGAGGAGAAAGGAAAGAACCAAAACCACUUUGUCUUUGCUUAAUUAUAUAAUGAAUUUAAAACAAGAAAAAAAAAACACUUUUUAGGAUCGAGUAGGGAGAGAAUCAAAAUUCAAAACCAUACUUGCAAAGAAGAAAACCAAAACCAUUAAUUGAGGAGAAAGGAAAGAACCAAAACUACUUUGUCUUUGCUUAUAUAAUGAAUUUAAAACAAGAAGAAAAAAUAAAAAUUUUUAGAAGGUAAAGAAUCAAAAUUCAAAACCAUACUUGUAAGAAAAGGACCAUUAAUUGAGGAGAAAGGAAAGAACCAAAACCACUUUGUCUUUGCUUAUAUAAUGAAUCUAAAACAAGAAGAGAGCCAUUAUUUCCACUUCAAGAUCACUAUUUAGCUAUUUUAAUUUCAUCUCCUUUUAUGUUCUCUCUAUUUGAGUUUUCUGUAGAAGCUCAAUUCUAGGUAAAGUUAGUGGACUACUUUUCUUUUGGAAAUGGCUUCCAAUCCAUAUAAGCUUAUCAAACUUGGUUGAGUUAUAAGUUUGUCAAUUUCCUUGUUUUCUUGAUGAAUUAAUCCAUAUAGAUAUUAUCUGCUUAUAUGUUUAUUGAUUUCUUUAUUUUCUUGAUAGAUUAAUCUGUGUAGAUAUUGUUCAUUUUGGACUUAAAGAAUUCUCACGAUUUAAAAACGUGUUUAUAAAAUUAGGAAGAAUUCAUACAUAAAUAGCAUCAAAUUUUUUUUUUUCUCCUAUCUAAUUUGGGAUUUUUGGUUUAUAUAUAGCAACAAUAUCUACAGGAUUGAAAUUGAAUUAUUAUAUAACUAAUCUUGGUUUUAUGAUCCAAUUCAUGCAUGGCAACCAAAGUGACCCCUAAGAUGAGCUUGAAGCUUCUAAUCAACAAAAAUGAUGAUAAAGUUGUCUUCGCUGAAGCUGAAAAAGAUUUCGUAGAUUUCCUAUUCAACCUUCUGACUUUGCCGAUUGGCACCACGACGAGUUUUCUUCCAAAAGGAAUUUGCCUAGGAGGCCUGCAUGAGAGUAUCAAAAAACUCGAUGGAGCUUACCUGCAACCUAACCAGAGCGCGGACUCGCCCCUGAAAUUGAAUACACUAGCCUAUGCUAUUCUUCCUUUCUUUAAUUCUUCUUCAUCGAGGAGUCAUGGUCAUGUGCAGGGCUUAGUUACCUACAUGGUGCCUGAUGACUUGUCGAUUACACCCAUGUCCAUGGCAACAACCAUGGCUUUGUUUAAGAAGUACAACAUAGAAGAAGUUGAUGUUCUCGAGGAGAAGAUGGUUGCAAUUAGCCUUGAUGAGGUAAACAAUUAUCUGGCUUGUUGGGUUUUAAUUGAUUUCUUUUCUGGCUUAUUCUCUUGCAGAUUUGGUUGGGGUUUGGAGUUAAUUUUUUUCCCAUAACAUAAUUAAUUAGGAGAUAUUACUUGUAAAUCAAUUAUUAAAUUAUUAUACCUUGUUGGGUAAUUGAUUUUUGAAAUAGUUUUCUAUUCAACAAAAUAAAAAGAAAAAACAUAUUUUCAAUUAGGAAAUAAAAAACAUGAUGUUUUUAAAUUAAGUUUUUUAGUUAAUUAUUUCCAUUUAUUUUCUAAGAUUUAUUCUAAAAAUAAUAAUAUAAAUAUGGAAGAAUGAUUAAAAAUAAAAUAUUACAUGUAACACUAUUUUUAAAACAUAUCUAGAAACAUUAAAAAAAAAAAAAAGAAUUACAGAACGUUUUAGAUUCUUCAAUAGGCUUGUUCUGCAAAAUAUCAUAAAUAAUUUUAAAAAACCAUUCUCAAAAAGUUUUUUCCAUGAAUGUUUUAAAAAACAUAUCCUAAAUUUUUUUCUAAAGUUUUGAAAGGAAUUUUCUGCCAACCAUCUACCAUUAAACCGCCUAGCCAUCAAAUUUACCGUCAACCACUGACCCUUGAACUGCCUAGCCAUCAAAUCGACUGCCAACCAUCAACCAUUGAACCGCCUCGCCAUCAAACGGACUGCAAACCCCGCCUAAACCAGCAACCACAUUGGUGACCAUCCAAAUAAAGCCCAUGUUGGGCUCUAUGGUAAACCCAGGAGUUGUGGAGAUGUCAUUCCUUUGGAUGCGUAAUGUAUUAAAAGGCCUCCUCGUUUUUAUCACCACCAGAUGUGGGAUUGAUUAGUUUCAAGAAAAGUCAAUGAAAAAAAAAUCCCACCUCAAGUUGAGGAGAUAGCAUAGGCACCAUUCGGCUACACACAUUUAAAUGCUAAACCAUCAAAAGCAACCAAGCUGAUUCAAUUUUUAACAAUUGUGAAGUUUUGGUUAGGUUUUGUUAUUGUGGAAAUUGAUUUAGUUGAUUCAAUUUUCAAUUUUCUUGAUUCCUAAUCAAUAAAAAUUAAAUCAAAUUGAUAUUUCUUAUAAUUUAUAAUGGUUUCCCGUUGAAUGAAUUUUUUUUUUUUUAUCUGUUACUUUCAUUAUUAUGUAUAUUACAUGGACUCAAUUUAAUUAAUUCAUUAUUGAUAAAUUAUAGUCAAAACAAUCUUCAAAUACAUCAAUUAUAGAACAAAAAUAUAUAUAAAAACUUAAAAUGUUCUUAAUCCAUUUUUCAUAUUUUUAAAUAUAUUUUAAAAAUAUAUUUUAUCCUAAUACUUUAUUUUUAAGUAUUUUUCAUAUUUGUAUAAUUAUUCUUUAAAAUAAAAUUUAGAAAAUAAGCAAAAAUAAUAAAAAAGAUGUUCCUUAAAAACACAAUAUUUUUUAUUUUUUAGAAUAAAAAGAUAUUUUCUAUCUUUAAAAAUAAAAAAUUAAUUUCUAUUUGUAGAAUUAAUGAAGGGCUAAAUCCAUCAAUUUAUAUAUAAAAUGAUUUACAUAAUAAAAAUGCAUGAGACGUGAUUUGACCUAACCGUACGUCCAUGAAUAAGAAAAACUAUUUUAUCAUGCAUAACAUAGAAAAUAUCAUAAAGAAUAUAAACCCAUUACAAAAACAAUUAUUUACGGCCACGUGGUGGGUUGUGAAAUAUGAAAUUUCUGGAAAAGAGUAUGGGAUGAUUGGGCUUGGGAGGAUGGAGGGUGGAUAUGAACCGAGAGCCGCCCAGAAGGGGCCCACUAAGAAGAUAGGUGCACACUAAGUUACAUAGUAUUAGUUUGGUGGGCUAAUAAUGGAACAAAAGGGUGGGGCCCAUUUCCUUAAUGUUGGAAUCAUAAUAUACUGGCCCAACUUGACAGGGCGGUGUUUACUUUGAUGCAGAUUGCUGACAUGGCACUUUUUCCCCAGAUAUUUUUUAUUUUACCAAAAUUUCUUCAACUUCUACAUUUAGAUUUUUUUUUCCCUCUGUAUAAUUAUUUAAAUUAUAUAUUCGAUAAAAAUUUUUAAAAAAAAAUUAAAAAAUGUGCAGAAAAAUUUCAACUUUUUAGAAUGUUGGGGAAAAUAGUUUUGAAAAACAGUUUUUAAGAAUUGUUUUGUAAAAAAUUGCUUUGAAAAACAGUUGUAUGAUAAGAAUAUGAUUUGGGGAAUAAAGUUGAGAAGAAGAUUAGGAUGGAAAGAGGCACAGGUGGAAGAGGGAGGAAAACACAAACUGAAAGUAGAAUAUCUGGUUGGUUCCAGGACAAGGUGGUGAGCCCACAUCGAAUCCAAGGAUUAGCUUUGAAACUACUACUCACGGCAUCUUUGCAGACCAAGCAAGCUUCUGCCAUUGGUUUCCUUUGUAAAAUGGCCUAGCUUAUAUAUCUAUCGUCAAAAGUAUAAAUUUGCAUUAUUAGCCCCAAUGAACAUGAAUCUGGAGGCAUUUUUUUCAGAGAAAUGCAGCUCUUUGGAAAAAAAAACCUCAUGAAAUCUCAAAUCGCUUGCACUUAAUUGCAGACUAAGUCAGAACUGUAAGUUUUCUUUUUGGGAAAAUAUAACUCUUCCCAAUUCCAGAAGGCAUUCAUGCUGUGAACCAUAUAUGUUGAAUUUUGAUUGGUUUUGUGAUAGGGUUUUAAGCUGCUGAAGGAAGCAUCAUUGCAGUCCAACACGUUCUAACCAGCAUCGUCCAUAGAAGUAAUAAAGAAUAGUAUUAAAAAAAAAAGGGCUUUUGAGGAUAAGAGAAAACCAUUAAUUUAAGAGAAAGGAAUGGACCAAAGCGCCACUUUGCCCUAUGCUAAUUAUAUAAUGAAUUUAAAAGAAGAAGAGAGCCAUUAAUUUUCACUUGCACUUUUACGAAGUGCAUUAAAUCAUAGGGGUUACGUGCACUUAAUUCAUUUAGAUCAACCAUUAAACUUCCCCACACAGGCCUCCCAAGUAUAUAUGGGUUCAUGGAAACAUGCUCCAAGUAUAUAUCGUCUGUUUAUCUGAGCGGCUUUUAAAUAGUAGAAACAAUGGCAGAAACCACAAUGAAGUUGAAUCUUGUAAUAGACAAGAACAGUCAGAAAGUCCGAUCCUCUAUACUGAAGCAGAAAAUGACUUCGUAGAUUUCCUCUUCAAUCUUUUUACAUUACUCGUUGGGACUGUUAUUAUGCUUCUUACAGAGAAGGGCAUGAUGGGUUGCCUGAGAGAUUUGUAUCAGAGCGUUGAAAAUUUGAGUGAAACUUACAUGCAGCCAAAUCAGAACAAGCCUCUACUAAAACCCAUUUUCCUAAGGUCGAGUUACUGCACUUUACCAACCCCCAAAAAGUUUUAUAUCUGUUUAUGAUGAAAUUUUUAUUUAAAAGUUAUCUAUGUUCUAAUAUAAUGUUAUUAUUAAAACUUAGGUAGUCAAUUCUAAAUUAAUAAAUGUUUGAUUAAAUCUAAAAAUCUAAAUAUUUAUAAAAAUCUUUAAAUUAAACUAAACAUAACCUACAAAUAAAAAAGAUAUUUGAUAAAAUAUCAAAUAUUUAAAUUAAAUUAAAAUUUACCAACAAUUAAAAUAACAUAUGUUUGAAUAAUUAUGUACCUAGUCAUGAAGUAAAAAAUACUUGAUUAAACUUAAAAGUCUAAACAUUUAAAAAUCUCUUGAAAUUAAACAAAACAUAGCCCACAGUAAAAAAUAUAUAUUUAAUAAAAUAUCAAAUACAAAAUUAUAAAAACUUAUUUUUCUAGAUUUAUUUUAUGUAUAUUAGGAUUUAAAUAAAUUUAAUUUUAUUAACAUUAAAUAAAAUUUAAAAUAUAAACAAACAAAUAUUUUAUAAAAUCUAUUCAAUGUUCAUGGUUAUCUAAUUUUUUAUUAUAUCUAUUUUUCUUUCACACACAAAAUUAGUUUUUUAGAGGGUAAACUUGCAUUUUUAUUUUUAGUUUUUAACUUUCUAAAAUUCCUAAAUAAGCAAAAGAAUUUUUUAUUUUUAAAAUAUGAGCGGGGGCAUAUACCCCCAAGCCUAUGGUGGCUUUGCCCUUGGCUAAAGGAAGCUUGGAUGUGAGAUAUUCCUUGAGAACCAUUGUCUAUACCAUUGCUAAAAAAGAAUAGAACCCAAAAACUUUUUGGGAAAGGGGAAAAAAUCAAAAUUCAAAGCCAUACUCGCAAGAAGAGAAUCAAAACCAUUAAUUGAGAGGAAGGGAAAGAAUCAAAACCACUUUAUCUUUGCUUAUAUAAUGAAUUUAAAACAAAAAGAAAACAAAUAUACUUUUUAGGAUUGAGAAAGGAAAGAAUCCAAGUUCAAAACCAUACUUGCAAGGAGAGAACCAAAACCAUUAAUUGAAGAGAAAGGAAAGAACCAAAACCACUUUGUCUUUGCUUAUAUAAUGAUUUUAAAACAAGAAGAGCACCACAAAUUCCACUUCAAGAUCACUAGUCAUCUAUUUUAAUUUCAUCUCCUUUUUCUCUCUCUAUUUUAGUUUUCUGUAGAAGCUCACUUUUAGGUACUUAAAAGUUAGUGGACUACUUUUUUGGUGGAAAUGGCUUUCAACUCAUGUAAGCUUACCAAACUUGGUUGAGUUGUAUGUUUGUUAAUUUUCUUGUUUUCUUGAUAAAUUAAUCCGUAUAGAUAUUAUCUGCUUCGAGUCUAAAGCAUUCUCAUGAUUUAAAAACACAUUUAUAAAAUUAAGAGGAGUUUAUACAUAAAUAGCGUCAAAUUUUUUUUCUCCUAUCUAUUAUGAGAUUUCAUGUAUAUAUAUAUUCAACUCACAUAAGCUUACCAAACAUGGGGUUGAGUUAUAUGUUUGUAAGUUUCCUUGUUUUCUUGAUAAAUUAAUCCAUAUAAAUAUUAUUCACUUUAGGCUUAAAGAGUUCUCACGAUUUAAAAACAUGUUUAUAAAAUUAAGAGGAGUUGAUAUAUAAAUGUAUAGCAUCAAAAUUUCUUUCUCCUUACCAAACUUGGCUGAGUUAUAUGUUUGUUAAUUUCCUUAUUUUCUUGAUAAAUUAAUCCAUGUAGAUAUUAUCUACUUCAAACUUAAAAAGUUCUCACAAUUUAAAAGCACGUUUAUAAAUUAAAGGGAGUUAAUACAUAAAUAAUGUCAAAAAAUUUUGUUAGUUUGUUUCCUCGUUAGUUAAUGCAUAAAUAAUAUCAUAUAUAGCGUUAACUCUGGUAAGCUUACCAAGCAUGGGGUUGAGUUAUAUGUAUGUUACUUUGUUAGUUUAUUUGUUUUCUUGAUAGAUUAAUCUAUAUAGAUAUUAUCCAUUUUAGGCUUAAAAAGUUUUCACGAUUUAAAAACAUGUUUAUAAAAUUAAGAGGAGUUCCUACAUAAAUAUAUAACAUCAAAUUCUUUUUUUCUCCUAUAUAUAUAUAUAUAUAUAUAUUUAUUUAUUUAUUUAUUCAACUUAGGUAAGCUUACCAAACUUAGCUGAGUUAUAUGUUUGUUAAUUUCCUUAUUUUUUUGAUAAAUUAAUCUGUAUAGAUAUUAUCUGUUUCAAGCCUAAAGAGUUUUCACGAUUUAAAAACAUGUUUAGAAAAUUAAGAGGAGUUAAUACAUAAAUAGCAUCAAAUUUUUUUCUUUUAUCUAAUGUGAGAUUUCAUAUAUAUAUAUAUAUAUAUAUAUACACAAUUGCAAUUGAGUUGUUACAUAACUAAUUUUGGUUUUAUGGUCUAAUUCAUGCAUGGCAACCAAAGCAACCCCUGAGAUGAACUUGAAGCUUCUAAUCAACACACAGGACAAUAAAGUUGUCUUCGCUGAAGCUGAAAAAGAUUUCAUAGAUUUACUGUUCAACCUCCUAACUUUGCCUAUUGGCACCAUUGUGGGUUUCCUCCCAAAAGAAGUUUGUCUAGGAGGCCUGCAUAAGAGUGUGAAAAAACUAGAGGGAGCUUACUUGCAGCCUAACCAGAGCUCAGACUCGCCCUUGAAGUUGAACACACCAGCAUAUGCUAUUCUUCCUCUCUUUAAUCCUUCUUCAUCAAGGAGUAAUGAUCCUUUCUUUCAUUGCUCUUCAUCAAGGAGUUAUGGUCAUGUGCAGGGCUUGGUUACCUACAUGGUGACUGAUGACUUGUCGAUUACACCCAUGUCCCUGACAGCAACCAUGGCUUUGUUUAAGAAGUGCAACAUAGAGGAAGUUAAUGUUCUUGAGGAGAAGGUGGUUAAAAUUGGUUUUGAUGAGGUAAACAAUCCUCUAGCUUAUUGGGUUUUAAUUGAUUUCUUUUCUAGCCUAUUCUCUUGUAGAUUUGGUUGGAGUUAUCUUUUUUCCAUAACACAAUUAAUUGGUAGAUGUUACUUGCAAAUCAAUUACCAAAUCAUUAAGCCUUGUUUGUUUGGUAAUUGAUUUUGAAAAUAGUUUUUUAUUUUGUAGAAUAAAAAGAAAAACACAUUUUCAAUUAAGAAACAAAAAAUAUAAUGUUUUUAAGUUGCUUUUAAAAAUAAUUAUAGAAAUACAAAAGAAUUAUUAAAAAUAAAGCAUUACAUGUAUUUAAAAACAUAAACAAAAAGUAAAUUAAAAAACAUUUUAGAUUCGUGUUUUUGUUUUAUAAAAUACCAUAAAAUAGUUUUUAAAAACCGUUUUCAUGAAUGUUUUUAAAAACAUAGCCUUCAUUUUUCUUUAAAAGUUUUGAAAGGUACAUUCUUUUUGAAUGUUUAUUUAAUCAAUCUUUUUGUUCACUUUUCAGGCUUUGCAGUUGUUGAAGUGUUCUCUGCAGUCCAACGCAGCUCUCACUGAAGUCUUCCUUGAGAAAGAAGAAACACAACAGUCCAAAGCAGCUCCCGCAGUUGCCGCAGUUGGCGCACCUCCCGCAGUUGCCGCAGUUGGCGAUAUGGGGUGUGGUUGUGGAAUCAGUUGCUGGUAGUGGGUAUGAUAGAUAGGGAGGUGGUGAGCUUGUCAUGACGUUUCAAACAGGAGCGGUUGCCGCAGUUGCCGAAGUUGCCGCACGUCCCGCACCUCCGGCAGUUACCAUUAACAGUCGCAGCUACCGCUGAAGUAUUACAAAUACAAAAGGACUAUGAAUAUGAUUGUUUGAGCAGGAGACCGACGUAGUAUUAAACUCCGUUUUCGAAUUUGCAAAAAUAAAAAAAUUGUAAGUCUCUAAAUAAUGUUUAUUUUUACAUGCCUUUAUAUAAUGUAAACUCUAUUUGUCCCCAAUUUUAU